GACACUUGCAGGGCGAGGAAGAAGAAUUCAUUCAUUUUAAAUGGCCGCCCUUGCGCAGGAAUUUGUCACUUGUUCGUCUCACGGUUGUGUUUUCAGUCAUCAUGAAACCAACGGUAGCUGUUAAUUGUAUAUGCGUUACAGUUAAUUAUGAUUACAUUUCAUAUCUUGGCUAGAAGAUAACGCAUCCACAGACAUCAAAUGCUAGCCAUCUGACGUUAUCAGGCCCCGGUGUGAACAGAAUUGUACACUCGCAAAAUCGAUCACAAACGAGGGCAGAGGUGCUUAUGUUGCCAACUUCCCUUGUUUGGCUAAUUGUUUGGACCGACGGCAAAGAUGUCCGUGGAGAUUCCCCAAAGGGCGUAAGGUGAGGAGCAAUCUCCACUCCAAUUGACAACUUCUAAAGGACUAUAGAAAAUGACUGGUUUGAAAUGGGAGAAAAGAGUUCCUGUGCAUUUCAUGAAUUCGGAGGAGAAGCCAUCACCUCCAGAGAAUGUCCCUGGAGACCCAUGUGAAACAGCAAUCAUUUCCUUUUCUCUCUCACACCAUGCAUACAAUGAAUGAAAAAUAAAACACCAAUAUAUCUUUAUUAGUUUUCCAGGUGUUAACCAUUUCUGCUUGCUCUGAGACUGCCUGCCGCUCUGUAGCUUGUCACACCACCCUGGAGUAUUGACCUAUGACUGCCCUGACGCCAAGACUGCCUGCUGUUCUGUACCAUAUGGACUCUGAUCUGGUUUACUGACCUCUGCCUGCCCUUGACCUGUCGUUUUGCUUGCCCC